AUACGUAGGGAGCGAGCGUUGUCCGGAAUUACUGGGUGUAAAGGGAGCGUAGGCGGGAGUACAAGUCAGAUGUGAAAUACAUGGGCUCAACCCAUGGGCUGCAUUUGAAACUGCAUUUAUUGAGUGAAGUAGAGGUAAGCGGAAUUCCUGGUGUAGCGGUAAAAUGCGUAGAUAUCAGGAGGAACACCGGUGGCGAAGGCGGCUUACUGGGCUUUUACUGACGCUGAGGCUCGAAAGCGUGGGGAGCAAACAGGAUUAGAUACCCUGGUAGUCCACGCUGUAAACGAUGAUUACUAGGUGUGGGGGGACUGACCCCUUCCGUGCCGCAGUUAACACAAUAAGUAAUCCACCUGGGGAGUACGGCCGCGAGGUUGAAACUCAAAUGAAUUGGCGGGG
rnacentral:rRNA from 1 species